AUGGGAGAGGGGAUGUGGCACUGUCGUUGGCCUUGGGUCACCUGCCUCUCCCACAAGUUGGGGGUGGAGUCAGCUACAUCAAGGCCACCUGGCCUGAGAGGGAGCAAGCUGCGGUUCCCCUAAAAGAACUGGAGUGCUUCUCACAUAACAAGGAGUCAAGUACGAGUCACAGACGUCCUCUACAAGUGAGAUCAUCGUGUACUGUUAAUUUUAGGUGCUAGCCAGGAUCACUCCCUCCGAAGUCACACCAGAGGGAGGGCUGGAGGGAGAAUCAAAUGAAAGAGAGAGGGAGAGAAAGGAAGGAAGAGAAGGAGGGAGAAUGGAAGGAUGUAUGGAUUUGGAUGUAUGGGUUCCAUUCCUUCUACCCUGGCAAAAGCUUACUCAUCCUUCAGUGUCCAUCCAAAAUGGCAUCUCUUCUUGGGCACCAUCUCCAGAGUCUCCUGCAAGCAGGUAGCUACAUCCCACAAAACAACCACCCAUCUGACCAUGCAAGUGUGUGGGGGAAUGAAGACCAGCCCAGGAAUCUGAGAUGAAUGUUUUGCUUCUUGCUCUGCCACUGACUCACAGGGUACCCCAAGCAAGUCCCUUCACCUCCUCGGUCUCAGUUUCUCCAUUUAUACUACUAAGGCAGUGGACAUGAUGGCCUCAAGUCUCAACAUUUUUAUUCCCUGAAAAGAAACUCUUGGUGCUGAGUGGUCUUCUUCUGCCCUGACAUCUCACCUUUCAAACGCUUGUCUCUUCUCACCCCACCCACCACUUAGCAUGUGCUCUUGGAGAACACCCAGGACUCAGGGUCUCUGCACACAUCAUGAGUCCAGCUCAGCAUUUGAGGUGGAAUCAGAGGAAAGGAAGGAGAGUGGGGAGAAUAGUCAGUAUUUUGGCAAGCUCAUCAUACCUUCCCCCUUUGUAUAGAAACUUCAAACCAUUUCCCUUUGAAGGCACUACCUCCUUCCCCCAGUUAUAAAUGAGUGAAGGUCUCAAGCCUGGACAACCAAAUGCACAGUGAUUGGUUCAACUCUGGACCUGUGACUCAAGCCAGACCAAGGGAGUGACAUGCAGGGCUUUGCCUGGAACUAUUCUGAAAGGGGCACUCUCUUUCUGCUGGGCUACUGAUAAUAUGUGCAUCCGUGAUAGAAGAGCCUGCCUGAUAAUAAAGCCAAUAAGGGAAGAGCAGAGCCAAGAGAUGGUGGGAGAGCAGAUGCCUGAAAAUAUCAUUUGAGCCCCUGGGUCCAGCUGCACCUGAAGCCACCACGAUCUCCUGGACUUUGCAGUUACUUGAGUUCAUAAAUACCCUUUGGCAUUAAGCCAGAUUGAGUCUUAAUGCAUAUAGAAAUAAGAGAAAUGAGAAAAGAAAUUGAAAAGAGAGACAGCAGAGAACUGAUUCUCUACUAGAGCCUCCAGAAGGAAUCAACUCUGCCAACACCUUGAUUUUGGACUUGUGGCCUUCAGAACAGUGAAAUGAUAAACAUCUGUUAUUUUAAGGUACCUAGUGUGUAACAUUCCGUCAUGACAGCCCUAGGAAAUGAAUACAGCGAGGAAAAUCCUACCAGCACAAAGGCAUGGAGGUGCCAGGAUGUCUCCUCUGCGUGAAGAGUAGAUGUAGAUGAGGCUGGAAUUAUCUAUCCUAGCUGCCCAGACCCAUGUGCCUUUGUUUUAUGUAGUUACAGCACCUAUGAUACAUAUUUGUUACCAUGUAUGUCACUAUGAACCUCCUCUGGAGGACGGAGAAGUCAAAUACCUUAAUUAUUCCAACACAAGCUUGCGUGAACAGAUAAUCAUCACUACGAGUAUAUUGUGUGCCUGCUAAGCACCACACCUGAGAUAAGCAUUUGCUGUGGUUUGAAUGUCCCCUCCAAAGCUCAUGCUAAAAUUUAAUUGCCAUUGCAACAGUGUUGCAAGGUGAGAACUUUAAGAGAUGAUCAGGUCAUGAGAACUCUGCCCUCGUGAAUGGAUUAAUACCCUUAUCGCAGUAGUGGACCCCCCUUUUCUCUUGCUGUCUGUCUCUCAUGUUAGCUUGUGCUUCCUCCUUUCACCAUGGGAUAACACAGCAAGAAGCCCCUCACCAGAUGCUGGCACCUU
ensembl:lncRNA LINC01234 long intergenic non-protein coding RNA 1234